rnacentral:rRNA from 1 species
GCACAACGCGAAGAACCUUACCAGGUCUUGACAUCCUUUGCCUUUCCUAGAGAUAGGACUUCCCCUUCGGGGGACAAAAGUGACAGGUGGUGCAUGGUUGUCGUCAGCUCGUGUCGUGAGAUGUUGGGUUAAGUCCCGCAACGAGCGCAACCCUUGUCCUUAGUUGCCAGCAUUCAGUUGGGCACUCUAAGGAGACUGCCGGUGACAAACCGGAGGAAGGUGGGGAUGACGUCAAAUCAUCAUGCCCCUUAUGACCUGGGCUACACACGUGCUACAAUGGAUGGUACAAAGGGCUGCAAAAUCGCGAGGUUGAGCCAAUCCCAUAAAACCAUUCUCAGUUCGGAUUGUAGGCUGCAACUCGCCUACAUGAAGCCGGAAUCGCUAGUAAUCGCGGAUCAGCAUGCCGCGGUGAAUACGUUCCCGGGUCUUGUACACACCG